rnacentral:rRNA from 1 species
AAUUCAGUGAAUCAUUGAAUCUUUGAACGCACCUUGCGCCUUUUGGUUUUCCAAAAGGCACACCUGUUUGAGUGUCAU